rnacentral:rRNA from 1 species
AUGCAUGUUAGUAGUACUACUACAGUAGUGAUGUUUAUGGCACGGAUGGGGAUUAUCUCGGUUAGGCGCGGGUCGGACGAAAUCAUCCGAGACGACGAGUUUUGUUUGUUUUCACGAAACAAUCACAUCGGAUCGGGUAAGAGAGAUGCUCCCGCCUUGAAAGAUCGUCCUGCUGCUUCCCUCCAACGUGACCGAAUUCUAACAAGGAGAUCAGAUCAGUCUACCCGUCGAUUAAGAAACGAUUUGUUUCUGUCUUUCUUUGAGAAGAAGAAGAAGAAGAAGAAGAUGCUUGGCACGUCCGGGAAGGGGUCGCACGCACGUCUGUCAGAUUAUUCCUUCUCUGACAGAGAUCUUUCCAUUAUUCUGGAGGAAAGAAUACUAGUUUUUGCUGCGCAAGGGAAAUAA